UGCAAGUCGAACGCGUUGGCCCAAUUGAUUGAUGGUGCUUGCACCUGAUUGAUUUUGGUCGCCAACGAGUGGCGGACGGGUGAGUAACACGUAGGUAACCUGCCCAGAAGCGGGGGACAACAUUUGGAAACAGAUGCUAAUACCGCAUAACAGCGUUGUUCGCAUGAACAACGCUUAAAAGAUGGCUUCUCGCUAUCACUUCUGGAUGGACCUGCGGUGCAUUAGCUUGUUGGUGGGGUAAUGGCCUACCAAGGCGAUGAUGCAUAGCCGAGUUGAGAGACUGAUCGGCCACAAUGGGACUGAGACACGGCCCAUACUCCUACGGGAGGCAGCAGUAGGGAAUCUUCCACAAUGGGCGCAAGCCUGAUGGAGCAACACCGCGUGAGUGAAGAAGGGUUUCGGCUCGUAAAGCUCUGUUGUUAAAGAAGAACACGUAUGAGAGUAACUGUUCAUACGUUGACGGUAUUUAACCAGAAAGUCACGGCUAACUACGUGCCAGCAGCCGCGGUAAUACGUAGGUGGCAAGCGUUAUCCGGAUUUAUUGGGCGUAAAGAGAGUGCAGGCGGUUUUCUAAGUCUGAUGUGAAAGCCUUCGGCUUAACCGGAGAAGUGCAUCGGAAACUGGAUAACUUGAGUGCAGAAGAGGGUAGUGGAACUCCAUGUGUAGCGGUGGAAUGCGUAGAUAUAUGGAAGAACACCAGUGGCGAAGGGCGGCUACCUGGUCUGCAACUGACGCUGAGACUCGAAAGCAUGGGUAGCGAACAGGAUUAGAUACCCUGGUAGUCCAUGCCGUAAACGAUGAGUGCUAGGUGUUGGAGGGUUUCCGCCCUUCAGUGCCGGAGCUAACGCAUUAAGCACUCCGCCUGGGGAGUACGACCGCAAGGUUGAAACUCAAAGGAAUUGACGGGGGCCCGCACAAGCGGUGGAGCAUGUGGUUUAAUUCGAAGCUACGCGAAGAACCUUACCAGGUCUUGACAUCUUGCGCCAACCCUAGAGAUAGGGCGUUUCCUUCGGGAACGCAAUGACAGGUGGUGCAUGGUCGUCGUCAGCUCGUGUCGUGAGAUGUUGGGUUAAGUCCCGCAACGAGCGCAACCCUUGUUACUAGUUGCCAGCAUUAAGUUGGGCACUCUAGUGAGACUGCCGGUGACAAACCGGAGGAAGGUGGGGACGACGUCAGAUCAUCAUGCCCCUUAUGACCUGGGCUACACACGUGCUACAAUGGACGGUACAACGAGUCGCGAACUCGCGAGGGCAAGCAAAUCUCUUAAAACCGUUCUCAGUUCGGACUGCAGGCUGCAACUCGCCUGCACGAAGUCGGAAUCGCUAGUAAUCGCGGAUCAGCAUGCCGCGGUGAAUACGUUCCCGGGCCUUGUACACACCGCCCGUCACACCAUGAGAGUUUGUAACACCCAAAGUCGGUGGGGUAACCUUUUAGGAGCCAGCCGCCUAA
rnacentral:rRNA from 1 species